ACCUCACACGACUGUUGUGAACAAGAUAGUUAGAGAGCUUUGAGGUAGAAACUCGUUUAAGACUGAACAAAACGCAACUUUCUGUGCAAGUAAUCAUAUUUAAUUAUUUUCUUCCCCUUUUUAGAACAUUUCACCAUCGACAUAUCAACAUAAACGGUCCUCUUUUUCGAGUUUGACUGCGUUUGGUACAGGUCACAACAACAAUGGCAGAUGUAGAGACCACACUUUCCCUUGCUUCCACUCCACGGCUGAUCAUGCUUGGUCACAACAACAACGGCAGAUGUAGAGACCAUGCUUUCCCUUGCUUCCAUUCCACGGCUGUUCAUGCUUGAGGAUCCAGAUCUACAAAACAAAAAAUGGAUGCUGCCGAUUGAAGGCUAAGUCCGCUUUCCUGCGAUUGACCUACCAUUUCUUCAGCAUUUGCUGUUCACUUUGGUUGCUACUACGUGCUCAACAUCGAGUACCAAGUGGAAGCAGCCACUACUUUGGAGUUUAUUCAGAGAUUUAUUGUGAGGAUCAGCCCCGACAACAGCAAGUGCUCCUCUAACUUCCAGGUGAGCAAAAGAAGUGGAAAGAUGGUGCAAAGGAAGAACUCUGGCCUGAACCAUCAUGUAUAUAUCCACCUUUAUUAAGGACUUUAUGAAUUAAGCAAAACUAUUAAGCAACUAAAGCAAAUACAUUCUACUCAACUCACCAGAGACGGUUUCAUCGGACGCACAUGACACACGUCUGGAUCCGAACCUUACUUCCGGUUUCGCUUUUUUAAUGGUCUGACUAGUUGGUAAACUGAUUUCUUGAACAAAAGCCUCGUCGAAAAUAACAAAUGUUUUGGUUUCCGAGCUAAUCUAUGUGUUGUUUUUUUGCUUGUUAUAUAAAUAAAAUGCGUUUAAAGAACUUUGUUGUUUUUUAUUCUUAGCGGAGUUUAUCGGAAGUUCAUGCGAACCGUGACAGCCGCUUGUUUAUGUUGUUACUGAUGAAACCGUCUAUAGUUAUAACUGAAUUUGUACUAGUAUUAUUUGAUAAUACUGUGAAAUGAAACAGUGAGUAAAUGUAACAUUGGCUUUGAAAAAGCUGUUGCUGCAAGAAAUUACAAUUUACUCAGAAUAAUAUUUUGAAUGUAUAAGUUUUUGACAUUGCUUAUGACUACAUUUGAAUGUAUUGUUCAUUAAUUGAUGCUGUGAUAUGUGUGUGUAAAUGUUUUGUGUGUUACAGGAUAAAAGAUUUUAUUUUACUCAGGAAAGUAUUUUGUAUUUGAACAUUGUUAUUAUGACUGAGUUAGUUCAUGACUUGAUUUAAAAUUCUGUAAUAUGAUAUCUAUGAGUAAAUGUUAUUGCAGGUUUGAGAAAAACAGUUUGUGAUGCAAGCUGAAAGUUCAGUGUGCAAAAAUAUGAAAAUCUGAUUUCAUGUUUUUGAAAAACUAAAUUAAAUUUUAAAAACAUGUUGUCAUUGCUUAUUUUUGUGAUUUACUUAGAGCUGUUUUAACACCUCCAUUUAAAUUUUGUGCAGUUUUGUAGUAAAUAGAAAUGGGAAAAUGAAUCACAGGAAAUUUUACGGUAAAAUACACAUUGUAAUAUAUACAUUGUAGUAUAAAAUUAUUGUAUAUUUUACAGUAGAAAAUAUAAAAUACUGUAAAUACAGUUACAGCAUGUUAAACAAUACUGUAAAAUGUAUACAGUAUUUUAAAUAGUACUGUAAAUUUGUAUACAGUAUUUUAAAUAGUACUG